AGGGUCAUGGUUCAGUGGUAGAACAUCUGCUAGGCUUGCAGAAGGUCCUGGGUUCAAUUUUUGGCAUCUUACCUAAGACCCUG
rnacentral:tRNA from 1 species